rnacentral:rRNA from 1 species
GACGAACGCUGGCGGCGUGCCUAAUACAUGCAAGUUGAGCGCUGAAGGUUGGUACUUGUACCGACUGGAUGAGCAGCGAACGGGUGAGUAACGCGUGGGGAAUCUGCCUUUGAGCGGGGGACAACAUUUGGAAACGAAUGCUAAUACCGCAUAAAAACUUUAAACACAAGUUUUAAGUUUGAAAGAUGCAAUUGCAUCACUCAAAGAUGAUCCCGCGUUGUAUUAGCUAGUUGGUGAGGUAAAGGCUCACCAAGGCGAUGAUACAUAGCCGACCUGAGAGGGUGAUCGGCCGCAUUGGGACUGAGACACGGCCCAAACUCCUACGGGAGGCAGCAGUAGGGAAUCUUCGGCAAUGGACGAAAGUCUGACCGAGCAACGCCGCGUGAGUGAAGAAGGUUUUCGGAUCGUAAAACUCUGUUGGUAGAGAAGAACGUUGGUGAGAGUGGAAAGCCCAUCAAGUGACGGUAACUACCCAGAAAGGGACGGCUAACUACGUGCCAGCCGCCGCGGUAA